GAUGAACGCUGGCGGCGUGCCUAAUACAUGCAAGUCGAGCGAACAGACGAGGAGCUUGCUCCUCUGACGUUAGCGGCGGACAGGUGAGUAACACGUGGAUAACCUACCUAUAAGACUGGGAUAACUUCGGGAAACCGGAGCUAAUACCGGAUAAUAUAUUGAACCGCAUGGUUCAAUAGUGAAAGACGGUUUUGCUGUCACUUAUAGAUGGAUCUGCGCCGCAUUAGCUAGUUGGUAAGGUAACGGCUUACCAAGGCAACGAUGCGUAGCCGACCUGAGAGGGUGAUCGGCCACACUGGAACUGAGACACGGUCCAGACUCCUACGGGAGGCAGCAGUAGGGAAUCUUCCGCAAUGGGCGAAAGCCUGACGGAGCAACGCCGCGUGAGUGAUGAAGGUCUUCGGAUCGUAAAACUCUGUUAUUAGGGAAGAACAAAUGUGUAAGUAACUAUGCACGUCUUGACGGUACCUAAUCAGAAAGCCACGGCUAACUACGUG
rnacentral:rRNA from 1 species